ACUGACAACACCUCAUUGCAUUCUUUUACAGAAUGGUGUCAGGGGUGUGAGGACCUCUACAGACAAACUAGGUAGAUUUUACUCAUCCCUAGUUGUCAGGAGUGUCAGGGGUGUCAGGAACUCUACAGACAAACUAGGUAGAUUUUACUCAUCCCUAGUUGUCAGGAGUGUCAGGGAUGUCAGGACCUCUACAGACAAACUAGGUAGAUUUCACUCAUCCCUAGUUGUCAGGAGUGUCAGGGAUGUCAGGACCUCUACAGACAAACUAGGUAGAUUUCACUCAUCCCUGUUGUCAGGAGUGUCAGGGAUGUCAGGACCUCUACAGACAAACUAGGUAGAUUUUACUCAUCCCUCGUUGUCAGGAGUGUCAGCAUCUCUAAAAAAAGACUAAUAGAUUUCAUUCAGCAUUAUUUGUGAUAUAAAAAAAACUUAAGCAAAUUCACAUGCCUAUUUUAUUAAGGCAAAUUGAUUACAAACUGUUUUAGGUUGCAUAGAGUUCAUGUUCACUGUAUACCUCAAUAAUAUUAUCGUACCUCCAAGUGAUAUCCGGAAUUUGAUACAAGUUUCUGAUAGCAAAAGCUAGUAUACUUCCUUAACGUUCUUACGGCUUUCCUGUGGUGUUAAGGGUUCCCUGUGAAAGAUCGCCUCCAAAAAGCCGGUGUUCAUCAACCAAUCCCAACCAUUUAUUUUAGAAAAUUACUGAAAUGAAGGUGUCAGGGUGUCAGGACUGACAAACAA